GUCCAGACGAGGAAAGUCCGGGCUUCACAGGGCAGGAUGCCGGAUAACGUCCGGUGGAGGUAACUCCCAGACCAGUGCAACAGAAAUAAACCGCCCCGUUUUGCGGGGUAAGGGUGGAAAGGCAGUGUAAGAGACUACCGCCGCUGUGGUAACAGAGCGGGCACAUGUAAACUCCAUUCGAAGCAAGACCGAGAAGAAAGCCAUACGGCGGCCCGUCGUGCUUUCAGGUAGGUCGCUGGAGCCUUCUGGCAACGGAAGGCCUAGAUAGAUGAU
rnacentral:RNase_P_RNA from 1 species